rnacentral:rRNA from 1 species
GAUGAACGCUGGCGGCGUGCCUAAUACAUGCAAGUCGAGCGAACUUUUGGGAACUUUCCCCCAAUGGUGAGAGGGGGGGGGGGGAGUAAAACGUGGGGAAACUGUCUGUAAGACUGGGAGAACAUCUGGAAAACGGAGAUAAAACCGGAGAACAUAGAAUACAACAUGGCGUUCAAUUGAAAGGUGGCUUUUAGCUGCCACUUACAGAUGGACCCGCGGCGCAUUAGCUAGUUGGUGAGGUAACGGCUUACCAAGGCAACGAUGCGUAGCCGACCUGAGAGGGUGAUCGGCCACACUGGGACUGAGACACGGCCCAGACUCCUACGGGAGGCAGCAGUAGGGAAUCUUCCGCAAUGGGCGAAAGCCUGACGGAGCAACGCCGCGUGAGUGAUGAAGGUCUUCGGAUCGUAAAACUCUGUUAUUAGGGAAGAACAUAUGUGUAAGUAACUGUGCACAUCUUGACGGGACCUAAUCAGAAAGCCACGGCUAACUACGUG